ensembl:lncRNA
UGGCAAUGCAGGCUCCUGAGUUGUGUACCUCAUCGUGAAGACGGCAUUAAGAAGCAUCUAAAAGGUGAUUUCCUUCUGCUGUUCACACAGGUCAGAAUGUUUUUGUUCUUGACUAACAGCUCACUGGUAUUCUCAAUCUCCUGUUGCCAUCAGUUUUCAUUUCGAGAAAUCCUAAACAGAGAAGAAAAUCUAGCAUUUCUGCAGAGAACCAUCUUGUCUGCCAUGCUGUGAAUUACUUCCCUGGGUGUUUUUCUGUGGGGAAAGAAGGAACCUCAUAGAGAAUGGAGACACAACCUUCUGUCUAUGACCAAUUGCUAUUGGUUUUUUUUUGGGUUGUCUCUGUCUCUUGAAAUUACACAAAUGUCCUUUAGUCUGACUUUUUAUUGCUCCAAGGGGAAGUGAACGUUCAGUAGUAGUACUGCCACAAUAUGGAUAGCUCCACCAACUCCUCUUUCCAGUCAGGAUGUUACAGAAUCAGUUCUUGUAGCAUUUUAACGGAAACUUCCAGUAGCCUUGAGCUUUACAAUUAUCCUUCUCAAGAGAUAUUAUGUAUUUGAAAACAUUAUGAGAAAGCAAAUAUCUCUGACCUAGUAUCAGAAAAGAACCUUAAAACUUCCUACAGAAGCAAGCAGGGCUCAGAUCACUUGCGUGAAUUGUAGCCAAGCCUUGAGACUGAUGGGAUUUUUGAGUUUGCCUGGGCAAAUAAAAUGUCCUUUGUGAAAAGACUUGGCAUGGUGCAUAAUGCCAUUCAAAUUUUAUCCUUUAUUUUUCCAGUUUGCAUUGGUAAAGUGACCUGAGGACUGAGAGUGUUUUGAAAGCUCACUUCCUCUGUGUCUGUGAACAGUGAUGGUCUCUGUUUUCCCUCAGCAGACAUAGCCUUGGCUGACCUGCUCAAAGGAUUAUGAGCAAAAGUGGGCAAUGUGGUGAAGUGCCCGACUCCUUGGCCAUGUCAAGCUGCAGUUUGGAUGUAACUCCUCACCUCUUCUGACCUUGCUUGGUAGCGUGUGCUCUUGCCCAGGUGGGACAUUGCUUCAAAUUCGCAGGGAGAAGCAAGCUGAUAGUCAUGGCCCACCUGGGUUUUUUUCUUUAGGAAAUGCUACUGGAAAGCAGUCAUCUUCAGAUAAACCCAAUGAACUGAAAGAAUACAUUCUGAUUUUGUACAGGUCCUGGCGUUUGGAUGGGAAAAAAAGUAAAUAAGUACUUCAGCUCCAUUAAAUCCUUAUAGAAGGGACUGUAAAGGGAAUCAGCCUUUCUCUACACAAAAGCCCAGGAGGAGAGAGUGGGGUGGGCAGUGGUGAUGAGGGGAGAGAUGGCUGAAUUGCUGCAGCAGACACAGGAAUCUGCCUGUGUCUCUUGUCAUUCCAUCACCCCCAUUCUUUGGCAAACAUAUGUGACUGCAUGCAGGCUGCAUCCAUCUUCAAGGUAAAACCUGGAGCCCUUGCACAGGGACUUCAAGAGGCACGAGCUGUUCCUUACAGGUGGUGGGGCUGAAUUGCAGCUGAUGCUGGUGCUCAGGUGUUAGAAAGUUAGUGGAGCAGCAGUGCUGCCGCUUCUGCUCUGCCCCUGAGGUGCACUGUUUUGGAAUCACCAACUGAUUUUGUUUCAUCUAUAGGAUAACAUAUAAUCUAUUUAUUAUGUUUCCAAAAUAUUCUUAGGAAAGCCAAAGCCUUGAAAUUUAACAGAGCUUUCUGGCAUUACAAAAUAUACAGAGUUUGUGACAUUUUUCACUUUCUUUCACCAGUGUUGUUGAAAAUGAGCAUGGAUCUUGUUGUUAGUAAAUAAAAGCUUAAUGGAGUCAAAGUUUCUUCUGUAA